UAGGCCAACAACUUCAAGAAUAUACUAAAGUAAAAUCUAAAGGUAACCAAGCCGAAGUUCCAAAUCCAAGUCUUCCUUCGGUUCACGAAUUGGGACACACUCCAAUGUCUUGACAAUUUCACAGUUUUUUUCUUGCUCAAAUGAAGUUAGAUUUUUGACCCCGGAAAGUGUUUUCGUGGUUUCCACCUUCAACAAAUUUGUUGUUAACGGUCUCGAAUGAUUUACUGGAACAGCAUCGUUACCCCAUCUCUUUUCGGCGAAAGUAGCAGAAAAACAAGAAGGCGUAGAGGAAGGAAAUAUUUGAGGUAAUGUGGAAUUAAAAGGUGGGAAUUUUGCCAAUGUAGAUGAGGAUGAAAUGCUAGGGUUAGGGUUCAUAUUUUCAGAAGGAUGAGGGUUCAGAAUUUUAUAAGGACUAGGGUUAGGGUUCAAAAUUUGGUUAGGGUUUGGUUCAAGAUUAAGGUUUAGAAGUGAAUACUGACUAUUAUCGCUUGGUGGAGACUCUCUCAAUCUGGCGCUCUCUCUCCUAUGAACAUUCAUAUGACCACCAAGAGCUUGAGCAGAUUUGAACUCUCUCUUGCAAAAGUUGCAAGUAUAAAAUCUUGGUGGCCAUGAAAAUUCACCAAGUAAAUCUCCUCCUCCAUUGCACUUAGUACUGUAAAAAUCCCAUGAAUCCUUUAACGUCUUGACAUUCAUUUCUUUCAUGCUUCUGCUACAAAUACUAUGCCUUCAAGUUGCUGGAAAAUCUUCUUCUCCAUGGCUUCUGAUGAUAAAGUCAGUCCAAGCAAGAUUAAGAUGAGAGAGAGAGAGAGAGAGAGAGUUAUUAGGGAGAUGGGAUGAUGACAAAUAGCUUGGACUUGGG
rnacentral:lncRNA from 1 species